UACGUAGGGUGCUAGCGUUAAUCGGAAUUACUGGGCGUAAAGCGUGCGCAGGCGGCUUUGUAAGUCUGUCGUGAAAUCCCCGGGCUUAACCUGGGAAUGGCGAUGGAGACUGCAAGGCUAGAGUUUGGCAGAGGGGGGUAGAAUUCCACGUGUAGCAGUGAAAUGCGUAGAGAUGUGGAGGAACACCGAUGGCGAAGGCAGCCCCCUGGGUCAAGACUGACGCUCAUGCACGAAAGCGUGGGGAGCAAACAGG
rnacentral:rRNA from 1 species